rnacentral:rRNA from 1 species
UACGUAGGUGACAAGCGUUGUCCGGAUUUACUGGGCGUAAAGAGCGCGCAGGCGGUCGAUCAAGUCGAGUGUGAAAGCCCCCGGCUCAACUGGGGAGGGUCAUUCGAUACUGAUCGACUCGAAGGCAGGAGAGGGUAGUGGAAUUCCCGGUGUAGUGGUGAAAUGCGCAGAUAUCAGGAGGAACACCAACGGCGAAGGCAGCACUCUGGGCCGGAACUGACGCUGAGGAGCGAAAGCGUGGGUAGCGAACAGG